GUUGUUACACUCGAAGACGAUCAAAUACCGUCCUAGUCUCAACCAUAAACGAUGCCGACCAGGGAUUGGCGGAUGUUGCUUUUAGGACUCCGCCAGCACCUUAUGAGAAAUCAAAGUUUUUGGGU
rfam:Populus trichocarpa scaffold_9_contig_37, whole genome shotgun sequence.